CGCCCUGUUCGGUCUAGUCGAGUUCUUCAGCGAUCUACUCCUGUUCUGGUUCCCUUUCUACUACGCGGGCAAGUGCGCCUUCCUAUUAUUUUGCAUGACACCCGGGCCCUGGAACGGGGCAUUGCUACUGUAUCAUCGCGUCAUAAGACCUCUGUUUCUAAAGCACCACGUGGCUCUAGACAGCGCCGCGAGCCAGCUAAGCGGAAGAGCAUUGGACAUAGCAGCUGGGAUAACCAGGGACGCCAAGUCAAGUCAGACCACACUCCUGAAGCACAAGUGAGGUCUGCUGGCAGUCUGUGUGUAGAGCCCCCAACCACUGACAAGGAACACAUAGCCGAUGAUGGCCAGAUCUCUGACAGUUCCUCAGACUCCCAGAUAGAGGAGACACAGCCACAACCGCAGCCACAGCUACAGCCGCAACCACAGCCACAGCCGCAACCUCAACCACAACCUCAACCUCAACCUCAACCUCAACCUCAACAACCACAACAACCACAACCGCAACAACCACAACCGCAACAACCACAACCGCAACCACAACCACAACCACAACCACAACCACAACCACAACCACAACCACAACCACAACCACAACCACGCCGACCCUCAAGUCCAAGUAAACCAUUAGGAAGCCCUUCACGGGCCACAAAUGGGCAGUCCCCGUCCCCAGUCAGCCCAGGCUCUGCGUCUGCGUCCCGGGGUCAGCUGGCCACUGGUUCUUUCGUCAUCGGCUCCCAGUUUCCCAGCAAGACCCGGACCCAUCGAAGCCGGGGCAGUUUGACUCCCAGGGCCGCACAGCGCGCCCGGCUGCCCAGUGGAACACUGGGGUCCAUUCAGCUGCCCAUGCGCUCUGUUGCUGCCCCACAGUCAGCAGGCCGGUCCUUGGGACCCAGCCGGACAACAGGCCGCCACACAGGAACAAACCAGCAGACCCCCCAGGUCUCCACGGCAGGCCCAGGCCGAGCGGCAGCCGCGGUGGCGGCAGCGCCAGCCCC
rnacentral:lncRNA from 1 species